UGGCCCCGCCCCUGGGGCGGAUUGAACCACCGCGACCUCUAGCGGGGAGCACAGGGCUGCACUUCCCGUCCCCCCCGGCUGGAGAGAUGAUGAAUCGUCAAGGAGCCCCAGCCAAAGGAGAAGUGGGAAGAAGUGAACCUGAGCAGCCUGGACAUCCGUCUAAGCAGAGCAGGUCGGUAGGGGCUGUGAAGACUCUUUUCUCCAUGCCCGGAUACUGGAAGGAAUUUACCAGCAUCCAGUUUCAGCAGAGUUGGGACAUGAUACCCUCCCGAUAUUACUACUUGCAGGGUGUUGGCCUGAUUGCAAGUUAGGAACCCAAAGUUUCCUCUUCAUUGGGCCUCUCUUGGGACUGGGAUUUCAGUGUGAAAUAUUCCUCUGUUCCAGCUGCCAUCUCAGCCCAGCAACUUGAGUGGAACUCUCUCUCCCUCUUGAUAACCACAAGGGACUUUCUGUUCCAUGUUCCAGAGCCAUGAUCAAGUUUGAGAACCCUCAGCUCCCUGCAGUUUUCAAAGCGGGAAUCACCAUCGUCCAGAGUGAGGAGGAUGAGCAGAGAAAUCUCACCAUGACUAUCUGCACUGAGGUGAGAUUCAUUAGUUGACAGGCACAAGUGGGCUUGUGGAGAGCAGCUCAGGCCAGUAGGCGAUGGGGCACCUCGUCAGCAGCCUUACAGCCAGUUAGCUCCUCUCCACAGAUGGAUCAUUGUGGGGAAUGGCAAAGAGAGG